AACGAACGCUGGCGGCGUGCCUAACACAUGCAAGUCGUGCGAGAAAGUUCCUUCGGGAGCGAGUAAAGCGGCGCACGGGUGAGUAACACGUAGGUAACCUGCCCCCCAGUCUGGAACAACUAGAGGAAACUCUAGCUAAUGCCGGAUGAGACCACGAUCCCUUCGGGGGUUGCGGCCAAAGAUGGCCUCUACUUGUAAGCUAUCGCUGAGGGAUGGGCCUGCGGGCCAUUAGCUUGUUGGUGAGGUAACGGCUCACCAAGGCUGUGAUGGCUAGCUGGUCUGAGAGGAUGACCAGCCACACUGGGACUGAGACACGGCCCAGACUCCUACGGGAGGCAGCAGUGGGGAAUAUUGCGCAAUGGGCGAAAGCCUGACGCAGCGACG
rnacentral:rRNA from 1 species